CUCAUGUCGCAAAUCGUCAUCGUGGACAUGGAGAGGGAGGAGGUAAUUGAGAGUUUUCCAUAUGGCGGCGACUCCUCCUGUAUACCAUGUGUUCUUCCACCGUGGCUUGGACAGAGCCGGAUUCCUUCUGCAGGCAAGAAGGACGUUGAGAAAAACAAGACUUUGGCAGACGUUCUGGUUCGUUCAGACGGUCACUACAAGAGAUGAAGGUUUUCUUAAAACUAACAGAUGUCAAUUGGGAAGCUGAUGGUGGCAGCUUACUGAUGCUGG